AAUACCAUGGUGUAAUCACAAGUAGUGUCAGAAGACGGGGUAGGGUAAUACAUGGUGCAGUCCCAGAUGGGUCAGGGGCCCCGACCCAGGGUGCGAGGGUGGGCGGUGGACCAGACACUUAGAGUCUGUUCUUCUCAUCUAGAAAAUCAUGUUUCAGUUUUCUCCCUGUCCACGAGUCUUCAGUGUUUCAACUUGUUACUUGUUGUGUACCGUCUGCAAAGAGUGAGCCAGUGCUGUUAACCUGGAGAUGCCACCAGUGAGUUCCAGAGCUUCUUGAUUGCCCUUAUGUUUCUG
rnacentral:lncRNA from 1 species